AGAGUUUGAUCCUGGCUCAGAUUGAACGCUGGCGGCAGGCCUAACACAUGCAAGUCGAGCGGUAGCACAGAGAGCUUGCUCUCGGGUGACGAGCGGCGGACGGGUGAGUAAUGUCUGGGAAACUGCCUGAUGGAGGGGGAUAACUACUGGAAACGGUAGCUAAUACCGCAUAACGUCGCAAGACCAAAGUGGGGGACCUUCGGGCCUCAUGCCAUCAGAUGUGCCCAGAUGGGAUUAGCUAGUAGGUGGGGUAACGGCUCACCUAGGCGACGAUCCCUAGCUGGUCUGAGAGGAUGACCAGCCACACUGGAACUGAGACACGGUCCAGACUCCUACGGGAGGCAGCAGUGGGGAAUAUUGCACAAUGGGCGCAAGCAUGAUGCAGCCAUGCCGCGUGUGUGAAGAAGGCCUUCGGGUUGUAAAGCACUUUCAGCGGGGAGGAAGGCGGUGAGGUUAAUAACCUCAUCGAUUGACGUUACCCGCAGAAGAAGCACCGGCUAACUCCGUGCCAGCAGCCGCGGU
rnacentral:rRNA from 1 species